GAUGAACGCUGGCGGCGUGCCUAAUACAUGCAAGUCGAGCGAACAGACGAGGAGCUUGCUCCUCUGACGUUAGCGGCGGACGGGUGAGUAACACGUGGAUAACCUACCUAUAAUACUGGUAUAACUUCGGGAAACCGGAGCUAAUACCGGAUAAUAUAUUGAACCGCAUGGUUCAAUAGUGAAAGACGGUUUUGCUGUCACUUAUAGAUGGAUCCGCGCCGAAUUAGCUAGUUGGUAAGGUAACGGCUUACCAAGGCAACGAUGCGUAGCCGACCUGAGAGGGUGAUCGGCCACACUGGAACUGAGACACGGUCCAGACUACUACGGGAGGCAGCAGUAGGGAAUCUUACGCAAUGGGCGAAAGCCUGACGGAGCAACGCGGAGUGAGUGAUGAAGGUCUUCGGAUCGUAAAACUCUGUUAUUAGGGAAGAACCAAUGUGUAAGUAACUAUGCACGUCUUGACGGUAACUAAUCAGAAAGCCACGGCUAACUACGUG
rnacentral:rRNA from 1 species